CCUACGGGAGGCAGCAGUGAGGAAUAUUGGUCAAUGGUCGCGAGACUGAACCAGCCAAGCAGCGUGAGGGAUGACUGUCCUGCGGAUUGUAAACUUCUUUUGUCAGGGAACAAAGUGAGGGACGUGUGCCCUUUUGUGUGUCCUUUAUGAAUAAGCAUCGGCUAACUCCGUGCCAGCAGCCGCGGUAAUACGGAGGAUCCGAGCGUUAUCCGGAUUUAUUGGGUUUAAAGGGUGCGGAGACGGGUUGGUAAGUCAGUGGUGAAAGGCUGGGGGUCAACCCCAAGACUGCGUUUGAUACGGGCAGUCUAGAGUUGGAGAGAGGUAGGCGGAAUGCGUGGUGUAGCGGUGAAAUGCAUAGAUAUCGCGCAGAACUCCGAUUGCGAAGGCAGCUUGC
rnacentral:rRNA from 1 species